AGGGGUGUGAACCCUAGCUCUCAAGAACAACAACACAAAUUCAGCCCAAUCAAAGCCAAAAUCAAAUGGAAAGCCUUGCAUGGAUAAAGAUUUCUCAUAAUCUAACCCUAACAAACAUAUGCAUUAGGGAUCAUGUGGAAAUGGACUCAAGCAAGAAAGACAAACGGGUCAAGAGGAGACAAGGAAGCGGAUGCGAAAACGGACUCUCAAGGUUGUACGAAUGACAAAUUAUCAUCAUGAGGUGUAGCGAUCAAGGUCCAAGUUACAAGAUAGAUUGUACGGGGAUCCUGGAGUAUAUAAAAUGAUAGACAUAAGUUAGACGUUCAUUUUGUAAAUGAGUACGAAGGAUGCGUAUAUUGUAAAAAGGUUAUUUUAUAUUGAAGUUUCAAGUAGGAUAAAACGUUUUUAA